CUUUUUUCUGCUCCGUACUCUCACCCUCAUGAGUGAAAUCUCAGUCGAGGAGGAUGUCCUGCUUCCCGAACACCUAGGCCUGAGAGGAGAGAUUUCCAAAAGCGUUGGGAAGUUUGGCCAAUAAGACAGGAGAAGACUGCACUGGCUGCAGCAGCCACGUCACCCAGCAGCUCACCGAGGCAGCUUCCCUGCCUGACUCCCCCGUUGCCUUGUCUAGGGAAAUGAGUUAAGUCAAGAGCCAUAAUGGCAGGCUAACUUCCACACCCUGCAGUCUCAUAAAGUCAAUUGAUUAAAGCAACAAAGCACCAGCCGACGUCUACACUUCUGUCUCCCUGCUUUCCGGGCACCACAAAUCCAGAGAGGCCACAAAAAGUCUCCCCACUCGGGCCCUCCUACAGCCCAAAGGUACCACGGGGCCAGCAGGCCUGGUGGCUGGGCUGUGGACGUCUCAAGGCUCAGGUGGAGUAUUCCAGAGGUAAAAGACUUGUGUCAAUUAGUCGAUCAACAUGUGACAUCACUCUUCAUUCUAGAGAAAGAAGUAUACACAUCUGGGUCUUUUUGCUUCUUAUGAUGGAUACGUGUGAACUGGUGAUGUGUCUUAUAUUCAUUAUCAUUUUCCUUCUGCUGAGAAUAAAAUAAAUCAUUCGUCCA